AGCCAAGCAGGUACUCAUUUUCCAUUUCUGUGUAGUAUCGUAUAGCUAAUUUUCGUCAACAAUGUGAAGCUGUGCUAUUUAGAUAUGACAAAACAAUCACCUGAAGAGACAUAUACCACAAUACCCUGUGCUCACAAAAAUCUAAUUUAUAUACCUGUUUAAAUAAUCAUCACAUUUCACUUAAUGUGCACCUAAAAUGUGUUUUAAGAAAUACACAUUAACACUGGUUUCAUUGGAAAAGACAUUUUUUGUACUGUAGCUAACAGUCCUGAAGAACUGAGCAGGAUUCAAAGGAGGAAUGACCAGAGCAGUUUGAACUGUAGUCCAAAUAAUGAAUAUGCCAUCCUUAAAUGUGGAAGAAGAGAAAAGAAGUGUAACAGGCUGUGCUAAACAGAAUUUUUGGGGAUGUAGUUACAUGUUUCAAGUAAGAGUGGCUGCUUCUUUCUUUUUUUUAUCUUCUUUAUGACUUCUUAAAAAUCUACUGAGGAAGAUGGGUAUAAGAUUUGCAAACCCGACCUUCAGCACAUAGUCUCCAUUUUUACUAUUUAAGAAAACUACUUGAAAUGGAAGCAAUUUACUUCUAUUCAGAAAAGCUCCCAGCAUCUUUAAACAGCUGGUACAGAUCCUAUGGUGCAUUGUGGAAGACUGUCUUGGCCUGGAAGACUGCCAUGGAGUUGGCUGGAGUUA